UACGUAGGGUGCGAGCGUUAAUCGGAAUUACUGGGCGUAAAGCGUGCGUAGGCGGUUCGCUGUGUCCGAUGUGAAAGCCCCGGGCUUAACCUGGGAAUGGCAUUGGAAACUAGCGGGCUUGAGUGUGGCAGAGGGGGGUGGAAUUCCACGUGUAGCAGUGAAAUGCGUAGAGAUGUGGAGGAACACCGAUGGCGAAGGCAGCCCCCUGGGCUAACACUGACGCUCAUGCACGAAAGCGUGGGGAGCAAACAGG
rnacentral:rRNA from 1 species